rnacentral:tRNA from 2 species
GCAGGGAUAGCGAAGUGGUCAAACGCGCGGGACUCAAGAUCCCGUCUCUUAGUGAGUUCGGAGGUUCGAAUCCUCUUCCCUGCA